ensembl:antisense Gm17196 predicted gene 17196
GGCACACUGAGCCAGGACCGUGGGCAGAGCCAUGGGAGGUGACAGAGAAAAUCGACUGGCUAAAUCAGGUCUGUGAGCUGGGCCCUCAAAGCAGUGAUUUCCAUGAUCAUGUCAUGACUGAGCUCUGCAACCUACAGUGCAGAGGAGAAAGGUGCUCGCCCUUCAUACGAUCUUCAUGUGACGGAUGAACGAGCCCCAAGGAGCUGGUAUUUAAGCACAGCACCUUUGAUAAACUCUGCAAACGUCUCCACUUCAUCACCACACUGGCCUUCCCUUGACCCCUCAACCAAAUCUCAUUUCAUUUCUGAAAUACAUUCUAACUGGCAUCUUAAAAAAAGAAAGAAA